AAGGUAUAGACCCGAAACCCGGUGAUCUAGCCAUGGGCAGGUUGAAGGUUGGGUAACACUAACUGGAGGACCGAACCGACUAAUGUUGAAAAAUUAGCGGAUGACUUGUGGCUGGGGGUGAAAGGCCAAUCAAACCGGGAGAUAGCUGGUUCUCCCCGAAAGCUAUUUAGGUAGCGCCUCGUGAACUCAUCUUCGGGGGUAGAGCACUGUUUCGACUAGGGGGUCAUCCCGACUUACCAACUCGAUGCAAACUACGAAUACCGAAGAAUGUUAUCACGGGAGACACACGGCGGGUGCUAACGUCCGUCGUGAAGAGGGAAACAACCCAGACCGCCAGCUAAGGUCCCAAAGUCAUAGUUAAGUGGGAAACGAUGUGGGAAGGCAUAGACAGCCAGGAUGUUGGCUUAGAAGCAGCCAUCAUUUAAAGAAAGCGUAAUAGCUCACUGGUCGAGUCGGCCUGCGCGGAAGAUGUAACGGGGCUAAACUAUGCACCGAAGCUGCGGCAGCGACACUUAGGUGUUGUUGGGUAGGGGAGCGUUCUGUAAGCCUGUGAAGGUGACCUGUGAGGGUUGCUGGAGGUAUCAGAAGUGCGAAUGCUGACAUAAGUAACGAUAAAGCGGGUGAAAAACCCGCUCGCCGGAAGACCAAGGGUUCCUGUCCAACGUUAAUCGGGGCAGGGUGAGUCGACCCCUAAGGCGAGGCCGAAAGGCGUAGUCGAUGGGAAACAGGUUAAUAUUCCUGUACUCGGUGUUACUGCGAAGGGGGGACGGAGAAGGCUAGGCUAUCCGGGCGACGGUUGUCCCGGUUUAAGCGUGUAGGGGGUGUGACUUGGUAAAUCCGGUCGCAUAUCAACCCUGAGGCGUGAUGACGAGUCACUACGGUGAUGAAGUAGUUGAUGCCAAGCUUCCAGGAAAAGCCUCUAAGCUCUAGGUAACAUUGAAUCGUACCCCAAACCGACACAGGUGGUCAGGUAGAGAAUACCAAGGCGCUUGAGAGAACUCGGGUGAAGGAACUAGGCAAAAUGGUGCCGUAACUUCGGGAGAAGGCACGCUGGCGCGUAGGUGAAGUCCCUUGCGGAUGGAGCUGAAGCCAGUCGAAGAUACCAGCUGGCUGCAACUGUUUAAUAAAAACACAGCACUGUGCAAACACGAAAGUGGACGUAUACGGUGUGACGCCUGCCCGGUGCUGGAAGGUUAAUUGAUGGGGUCAGCCGCAAGGCGAAGCUCUUGAUCGAAGCCCC
rnacentral:rRNA from 1 species